rnacentral:lncRNA from 1 species
CCACAGGGGCCUAGGCAAGGAGCCCGGGGCGCCGGCACCUAGGCAAGGAAUCCCUAAGCCAGGAGAGCUGGACCUGGAGCACCCCUGGGCGCUGCCCUUGCCAGGACGCCAGUAGAGCUGGCAGCCGAGCCUGCCGCUCCCGCCCUCAGAGCCGCGGCGGCGGGGACAAAAAUCCUCGGCGGCGGGGGCAAAAAGUCGCGGUGGCAAAAAGCCGCGGCGGCGGGGACAAAAAGCCGCUGCGGCGGGGGCAAAAGGCGGCGGCAACAGCGGCAAAAAGCCGCGGGCGCAAAAAGCGGCGGCAACAGCGGCGGCGGCAAAAAGCCGCGGCGAGGAAAAAGUCGCUGCGGCGGGGGGGCAAAAAGCCGUGACAGCGGGGGGCAAAAAGCCGCGGCGGGCAAAAAGCCGAGGCGGGGUGGGGGCAAAAAGCCGCGGCGGCGGUGGGGCAAAAAGCCGCGGCGGCGGGUGGGUGGCAGAAAGCCGCGGCGGGCAAAAAGCCGCG